rnacentral:rRNA from 1 species
AAUGAACGCUGGCGGCAGGCCUAACACAUGCAAGUCGAACGAGUGGCGGACGGGAGUAUAAUGUCGGGAAAACUGCCUGAUGGAGGGGGAUACCUACUGGAAACGGUAACUACACCGGCUAACCAUCAGUGGUGCCCGGAGGGGAUUAGUUUUUUGGUGGGGUAACGGCUCACCAAGGCGAAGGUCACUAGCUGGUCUGAGAGGAUGACCGGCCACACUGGAACUGAGACACGGUCCAGACUCCUACGGGAGGCGGCAGUGGGGAAUAUUGCGCAAUGGGCGAAAGCCUGAUGCAGCAAUGCCGCGGGUGUGAAGAAGGCUUUCGGGUUGUAAAAUACUUUCAGCGGGGAGGCGUUACCCACAGAAAAAGCACCGGCUAACUCCGUGCCAGCAGCCGCGGUAAUUC